CGCUCUUUGGUGUGUAUGGAUGGAGAGUAGGGCCUGCUCAAUGACGGUUGUUAAAUGGCCGCGGUACCCUGACCGUGCGAAGGUAGCAUAAUCAUUUGCCCCAUAAUUGGGGGCUAGAAUGAAUGGCUUGACGAGAGUUUGGCUGUCUUUUUAUUUUUAACUAUAAAUUAAUUUUUAUGUGAAGAGGCAUAAAUUAUUAAAAGGGACGAGAAGACCCUAUUGAGCUUUAGUUUAUUUGUUUUUAAUUUUUGGUACUUGGGUAUACUUAAUAUGGUAGAUACUUUGGUUGGGGCAACGCGGGAGAGGAAAGUAAUCUCCCUAAUUGUGGAAGAAUGAUAAUUUUUGAUCCAUUUUGAUAGUGUUUAAUAGAUAUAGUUACCAUAGGGAUAACAGCGUAAUCUUUUCUGAGAGUUCUAAUCGAAGGGGGGGGUUGCGACCUCGAUGUUGGAUUAAGGGAUUCUUGUGGGUGUAGUCGCUCUCAAAGUAAAUCUGUUCGAUUUUUAAAACCUUACA
rnacentral:rRNA from 1 species